rnacentral:rRNA from 1 species
UACGGGGGGGAGCAAGCGUUGUUCGGAUUUACUGGGCGUAAAAGGGCGCGUAGGCGGCCAGCACAAGUCAGUUGUGAAAUCUCCGAGCUUAACUCGGAAAGGUCAACUGAUACUGUGCGGCUAGAGUGCAGAAGGGGCAACUGGAAUUCUUGGUGUAGCGGUGAAAUGCGUAGAUAUCAAGAGGAACACCUGCGGCGAAGGCGGGUUGCUGGGCUGACACUGACGCUGAGGCACGAAGGCCAGGGGAGCAAACGGG